GGGACACCACCUCAGCAUGGCGUGUAGGCCCACACCCAGGAUCCAAGCUGGAGAACCCUGGGCCGCUGAAGCGGAGCGUGAAAACUUAACCACUCGGCCACGGGGCUGGCCUCAAGGGCUGAUAUGUCUAAAUGAGCAAUACAAUAAAGACACAAUUCAUGUAUGGUUAUAUAUUUAUCCAUAAAAUUAAUCUUCCUGGUUUUCAUUUCAGCAAAACCACUAAUUAUGUUGUUAUAAUCAAUAUUUUCACAUCAUUUGCGUCCUAUUAAAAGUAAUGCACACUAGAUGACCUUUCUCGAAUCUUUGGGUUUUUUUAAAUUUUCAAUGUGGAGAAAUUUUGCUCUGCAGAGGCAGCAGCAAUUGAAAUUGUCAAUAAAAUUCUUAAAGCAAUACUUUGAUUUGGAAAUGGAUCAUGAGUUUUAUAUACCAACAUUGUAAUUGGGUUGCAUCUGAUAUAUUCAUGAUCACAGACACUGUUACAAAUGUUUUAAUUUCAUCCUAUAAAUCACUAUCAUUUAUUUCAUGAUUUUCAAAAUCUCUUAAAACAAUAUUUAAAAAUAUACAGAUGCACAUAGUGUUGUAAAGAGUUGAUAUCAGGCUUCACACAUAUUGUUGGUGCACCUGCAUACAUCUGCAUUCAAGUGUACCGUGAACUGUUGUGGAUAUUGUGCUAAUUCACGAGUAAUUCCAGAACCAUCCGUUGGAACAUGAAGAGAAACCAGAGACUGUUGCAGGCAGGCCACUUGGAGAGGAGGAUGGCACAGCUACGUCAUCUUCCCUCUCUCCCAGGAGCUUCUACCACCAGCAUCUUCCUCGCUCUCCGAGGCAGCGUCAGAUCUGAGGUCAGCAGUGGCACACUCUACAAACCUUUGCAGCUUUGGGCGUGGUUACCUUCUGCUUGGAGAACACGGGGCAAAAGAUGUAGGGGAUACCUUGGGGCCUGGAGGGUGUCAGUCACCUGCAGAUGUUCAGCAUUGGGGGUUACACUGAGCCCGUGCCAUGUGACAGAGGGCCUUCUAAAGUGAUGGGCCCAGGAGCCCACCCGCCCAGGGUGAUGGCCAGUACUGCACUGCUUGCUAAAUAACCAUAUAAAUAUUACUGUAGUGGAUUGAAUGGUGGUCCCCGAACAGAUAUACCCACAUCCUAGUCCCUAGAACCCGUGAAUGUGACCUUAUUUUUGCAGAUGUGUUAAAUUAGGGGUCUCGAGAUAAGAUCAUUCUGGAUUAUCUAGGUAGGCCCUAAAUACAAUAAUGUGUCCUUCUAAGAGACAAAUAGAAGAGAGACAGAGGGAGAAGGGGAGAAGGCUGCAUGAACGUGGAGGCAGAGACUGGAGCGAUGCAUGCAGCCCCAAGCCAAGGAAUGCCCACAGCCACUGGAAGCUGCUAGAGGCGGGGAAGGAUACUCCCCAGAGCCUUCAGGGGAGCACCGAGCUGCCAACACCUUGCUUUCAGACUCCUGGUCCCUAGAGCUGCAAGAGAAUAAAUUUCUGUUGUGUUAAGUUACCAAAUUUGCGGUAAUUCGUCAUGGCAGCCCUAGGAGAUGAGGGCUAAGUACAAUUUCCCACAAUGUCCAGCAUUUGUCGGGGCUGAUUGUGUACCAGGCACUCUGCUGAGCCCUCUCUACAAGCAUCAUCUCACUUAAGCCUCACAAGGCACUGUUCUCACCCUCACUUUACAGAGGAGCGGAGAGAGGUUCUAAAAGGCAGGAAGCUGGCCCGAGGCCACGUGGCCAGGAAGCUGGGAUCUGAACCCAGGUCCGUCUGCUGCAAAGAUCUUAGAGCACCCGGAAGCCUCCUCGCCUGGUGACACAGCCGGCUGUAAGAUGGAUUUACCCUGUGCUUGGUGGCUUCUAGCUGAAUGUCACCUCCUCUUUGUCCCCCUACUUAAAAGAGGCCCACAUCUUUUAGCACUCUCUGCUCUAACCCUCGGCAAUUUACCACCACCUCAGAAGUGAGAUAUAAAUUACAACAGACCAUUCUUCGAACUCAACCGAUCAUGGGAACACUGUUUGCUGUUACAAAGAAACAUUCUAGGCAUACACAAUCACGCCUAGUUCUUUGCAUCUAUUUAGCCUCGGGGUCAUUCGGGUUUAUUCGCACACAUUGCCAAGAUGAAUCAGAAAUCUGGAGAAACCAUUUGUUCUUGGAGAAGGACAGCAGUCAGGAGGGUUUUUUGUUAGUUUCUUUUUGUUGAUUUUGAAUUUGUAUGAAGACUAUGUCCCGGUCCCAGGAGAAAACAGACAGAAAAGUUUGUUUUCUUAAGACUUAAAAUAUAUUCUCUGAGCUCACUAAGCCAUCAGAACAUGCCACCGGGCUCUGACGAUGGCGUGAUUUAGGGAGUAAGCAUUUCUUUCCGCUCUAUGUUUGCCCUGUCUUUUGGGGACUAGAAGAGAUUGUUGUCCAUCUGCUGACAAGCCCCAAAACUGUGUGUGUGUGUGUGUGUGUGUGUGAGUGUGAGUGUGUGUGUGGUGUGGCUGGGGGAAGGGGGUCUGGAUGAGGUGGUUACUUUUAUGUUGUUACCCUUCAUUUAUUUUCUUUCAAACAAAAGCUACCCCAUUUCACAGGUGGAAACACUGAGUCCUGGUGGAUGGAAACGAUGUUCUCCAAGGUAACUCAACCAGACAGACUUAACUACAAAUGCCAUGCUGUCCUCUCAAGAAACCAUUCCAUUUAGUGAAAACGAGACCGGUUAUGCAAUGAGUUUGAGGCUAAUUUUAAAGCAAGUCAUGUGUCCUUCCCGUUGCUCUGACCCAAAUACGAGACAGGGACUCAAAGUUGCACACAAAGAAUACCCAAAACAAUCAGGACACUCGACAUGAGCCAUCUGGUUGAUGACGGGAAUGCAAGCGUCAUUUUUCAGCCACCGCAAGGCUCCGGCACUGGGGACUCGUUCAGCGUUCCAGUUAGGACACCGCCCGGAGACUGUGCCAGAGACCGGCCCCAGGUCGCUAGUUCUGUCUGCAGCCAGAUUUCUAGAGCAGUAAAGAGAAGCUAACCUAACCUCUCUCACAAAGGUCUGCAGCGCGCCGUCACUGGGCCCGGGCCCUAGGGCUUCCCUCUUCUCUCACGUCUCUCAACCAAAACCCGCUCCCGGGAAAGAAGACGAGAAAUUCAUCCGCAUCAAGGAGAACGGACAAAUUUAUCUUCCUGGGAGUGUCCCGGAAAAAUAAUGGGUCUCUGGGCAGUUUCAGAUACCAGAGAGAGAGCCAGGAAGAAGAUAUGUGAGAUCUAUGCAUGGAACCACGGAACUUUCUGUCUGGCUAGCAGGGGAGGCUAACAAACAGAACUUCAUGUGGAUGUUUUGAAACAAGAAAGCAGGCUGAGCGUUGGCUGAGCAGAACUGCAAACCAGUUUUCCCCACUCUCAGUGUGGAGAUGACCAAGAGUCUGUCGUGGAAGAGAGAUUCAGAGCCAGGCCGGCUGCGAACUGAUACUGCCAGAUGGCAGAGCCGUCAAAAUAUUUAGCUGUGAAGCCCACACUGUGUUCGGGAAGAGGCUGAACUCACCU